CCACUAUAGUCCUCCAUUGAGGUUACUUGUGGCUCUGUCUCUGUGUGUGUAUGUGUGUAAUUCCCUUCCACGGUGUUGAAGAGUAAGCCUGUCCCUGGUUUUAGAGUCAAUAAGGGCAGCAAUCUUUAUAUUCCUAUAACUUCUCCGUCUCUAGACAGUUACUGAGAAGGAACCAUGCAGGAUGAAGCU
rnacentral:snoRNA from 12 species